rnacentral:rRNA from 1 species
UACAGAGGUCUCAAGCGUUGUUCGGAUUCAUUGGGCGUAAAGGGUGUGUAGGUGGCGCGCUAAGUCGGGUGUGAAAUUUCGGAGCUUAACUCCGAAACUGCAUUCGAUACUGGCGUGCUUGAGGACUGGAGAGGAGACUGGAAUUCAUGGUGUAGCAGUGAGAUGCGUAGAGAUCAUGAGGAAGACCAGUGGCGAAGGCGGGUCUCUGGACAGUUCCUGACACUGAGACACGAAGGCCAGGGGAGCAAACGGG